rnacentral:misc_RNA from 1 species
AUCACGUGGUCAAGCAGGAGCCAUAUUGAAGAACUAAUUUCAAAGCAGGUGGGAAGGUAAAAAUCUUAAAGAUGAGUUACGGACGAAGUCCACCCGAAGUUGAUGGAAUGUACUCAUUAAAAGUAGACAAUUUAACAUACAGAACAACUAUUGAAGACCUGAAAAGGUCUUUUGAGAAGUACGGCGACGUAGGGGAUGUUUACAUACCCCGAGAUCGUUUUACGCGCGAAAGUAGAGGGUUUGCCUUUGUACGUUAUUACGAUAAGCGUGAUGCCGAAGAUGCCAUUGACUGUAUGGAUGGUGCCGUCAUGGAUGGAAGAGAAAUAAGAGUGCAAAUGGCACGUUAUGGACGGCCAACCGAACCUGCAAGACGAGGUCCACCACCCAGGAGGUCCACUUAUUAUGGAGGUUAUCGUAGCCGAAGGUCUCGCUCAAGAUCUGCAUCUAGAAGACGUCGAUCGUACAGUCGCUCCAGAAGUAGAUCUGACAGCCGAUCAAGAAGACGACACUACUCUGAUAGCCGCUCACGUUCACCAUCAUAUGACCGCCACUCGCGGAGCCGAUCUCGAUCACCCAAGCAAGACUGAGGCAUCCUCUAAAACUUGAACUGAGUUAUAUCAUGCGACAGUUUUGCCUCUUGAAUAUCCACCAAAAGACCUUUGAGCAGUUUGAAAGGGGCUGUAAUGUUUCUACUGUGCAGUAUGCUGUAAUGUUAGCUGUGCAUUGGUGGCUGCCGAUCAGAUGUUGCAGUCCGUUAUCUUAGCUGUCAAUGCUGUCUGUCGGAUGUUGCAGUCUGUCGUAGAGUGGUCACUGCAUCAGUCGCAGAGUCCAGUUUGCAGUAGAGCUGUAUGCUGGUAGCUGAGAUGCAGAUUCCAGUUUUUAUAUUUAAAAAAAAAAAAAAAAAAAAGACUUAAAAGCAAAUAUCUUGAACCAUUUCCAUGUUAGGUUUCAAAAUGGGUAGAUGCUAAAGUUUUAAUACAAAUCUGUGUGCAAGGCAUAUAAAAAUGCAUUAAGCAUCAAUAUCUGUUGUUGGAGUCUACUGUGAUGUGGGUCUGUUUGGAAAUUGUAAACUUGGAAUGCAUAAAGUCUAACGAAUCCUGCAUCGUAUUGUAUCUCUGAAUGGAUUGGGUACAAUAGACCAGUCUGACGGUCCUGUUGGUAUUCUCAGGGGUCUGACCCAGAUUUCGACCAAUGUUUGAAAAAGUCACGAGCCCUUACAUGUAAUAUAGUUAAUACUUUACAGUGGCCCAGAUCGAAAAAUCACUCGGCUGGCACUGGGGCAGGGCUUCUAAUUUUUUUUAUCAAAUCCACUAGCCAUGAGAUGGUGAUUUCAAAAAUUUACCAGCCAUGAUUAAAAAUUCACUAGCCAUACUUUACGUCAAGUUUAUACAAUUUUACUACAUACUAGUAAUAAUCAGAUUUGUCACUUAAAGAGGGAAUUGGAGCUUACUAACAUCAUUUACAAAAUAGACUUACUUACAAAUUUUUUUUUUUUUUUUUUUACUAGCUGUCUGGCUUGGCAAUAAUAGUUGUUUACUAGCCCAACAUUGAAUAUCACAAGCCAUGGGAGUGAGGCUACCAUAAUCAAAAAGGCCUGACUGGGGGCUAGUUAAUUUUAGAACCUUGUUUAAAUAAACAUCCACUUGAAGGUGUAUCUCCCCAGCAUAGAAAUAACCAUAUUUUGAAAGCAAAUUUAAAAUAAAUUAAAAAUAAUUUCAAUACAUUUUUCGUUAUAUUGCUAAAGAUAACAAGAGGUAAAUAAGUAAUAAAUUAUCAAACAAAAUAAUACAUAGCAAUCCCUUUGAUGGUGUGAUCAAUUCAGGCCUCUGAAAAUUGUGAAGAAACGAUUGGAACAUGCAAUAAAUUUAUGAUUUUUUAUUUAUUUUUACAUUGCCAUGAUGUGAGUUGCACCAAUUUUCAAUUCACAUAGGCCUGUAAUUGCCCAUAUAAAAGCAUUUUUCCAAAUAAUUUUCCUACCUGUCCUAUUAUUAUUUUGCCCACUCCUGAACAUGUAAUAGGAAAUUAGCAAAUGUUUGGUUUGUUGUUCAUCCCCAUCUUGGAUGCAACCAUCACGUUAAAAUUGGUGUCAAUUGCUUAGAAGAUUUAUACCAUUUUUGCAUUCCAGUAAAUUUGUUUUUGCCUGUUGGGACUAAUAAACCUAUUGUAUUUACUAUGAUAACUAUGUAAUAUGUUUUUAAUUUUGAGUUUGGGAUUUAUAAUAUAUUGAUGGGUUUCUUGGCAAAAAUUAAUAAUUUAUUUUUCAGCUGGGUUUGUAAAUGUCUCAACUUGUACUACAGUCUGUUGCCAUAAUGGUAAUCUGUAGUGCAAAUACUAUCCAGAAGUGGAUUUAUUACACAUGGUCAGCACACAACCUGGACCUUUGCAAUCAACAUAGAGAGUUGUCUGUGUAUAUUUUGGCAUAAAUUCCUACAGAUGUUUCCUCGACUACAAUUUGCACACCAAUCCGUAUAUAUAUCUCAGUAUAUCAAAUCCAUUUUUAAGGAUGAGAGUAAUUCAUUUUAAAACCAAUUUAUUUUAUUUUUAACUUCCAUGAAGUGAGGGGGGUUACUCGUGUACACAUAUUCUUUAUAACAACUAUAGUAAUAAAGUUGUACAGAUGUGAA